AUGUUCAUCCGCCUCAUCCCGCUCAUCUCCCUCGUCGACAAUUCGACAAACAGUCGUCGUGCCAAGGCCGAGGAGGGGGUGCUCAGUGUUGUCACAGACAAUUCAAGUAGUCACAUCAGGAGUGUGUUGAAACCAUCUCCAGCAAGAGCUUUGGAAUUCUCCGAAAUAAAGGUUCAAGGAGCUACUGAACUUUGCAUUGUUGAAGAAAAAACAUCUGUAGGAAAAGUUAACAUGCAAGAACAGAAAAUCUUCAACAUUGAAGAACUCACUGAGCUUUGUACCCGUAUAGAAGAAACUUGUGUGGGAUUUGCAAAGUUCAACUUCUUUCAGAUCGUGGAUGCUACAGACAAUUUCUCAGAGAGGAGAAUACUUGGGCUUGGUGGAUUCGGUACAGUUUAUAAGGGUCAGUUGCCCAACGGACUUAUGAUUGCCAUCAAAAGACUUGAUGAGCAUGCAACCGUAUUUGAUUUCGAUAGUGAAUUGCAGCUUGCGAAGCUUCAGCAUGCCAAUCUGACUAGGUUGCUAGGGUGGUGCAUUCAUGGGAAAGAAAGGAUUCUUGUCUAUGAGUUCAUGCAAAAUGGUUCCUUGGACCAUUACAUAUCAGAAAGAACAAAAGGACAAGUGCUGGACUGGUCUAAGCGAUUCAAGAUAAUUACAGGGUUAACAGAGGGCCUUGUUUACCUGCAUAAAGGCUCCAUGUCCUGCCUUGUCCAUAGAGACUUGAAACCACAUAAUAUCCUCUUGGAUUAUAACAUGAGCCCGAAGAUUGCUGAUUUUGGAUCAGCUAGGACACUGAGUUCAGAUGUAGCAGAAGAGCGCACGAGUAGGGUUGUGGGAACCAGUGGUUACAAAGCUCCAGAGUAUGCAUCUCAAGGAGUUUACUUGCUGAAGACAGAUGUGUUCAGCUUUGGCAUCUUGGUUCUGGUGAUUAUUAGUGGCCGAAAGAAUACCAUACUCAACAAGCAAGGGGAUACUGUUGGUGAUCUUGUACGAGAUGCCUGGCAUAUGUGGAAGGACCAAAGGUUGCAUGAUCUUGUGGAUCCGUUGUUAGGGGACAGAUAUGAAGUCGCUGAGAUAACGAGAUGCGCUCAAGUGGCACUGCUUUGUGCCCAGGAAGAUCCAGCAGACCGGCCUGCCAUGACAGAUGUUGCUGCAAUGCUGAACUCUGAAAACAUAAGCUUACCAAUGGAGCCUAAGCAGCCCACCGCGCUGAUCCAUGGGUGUGCCGACAGAGACACGGCAUCGACAUACAUGAGCCAAUCAGGCAGGACAAUAGACAUAACCAUAACGAGUUCAGCUCCAAUGUCGACUAGAGUUCGAAUCAUUCUAGACCCGGAGGUUUGA
rnacentral:rRNA from 1 species